AAGGUAGGUGAGGGCACUUUCUAAGCAUCUCCAUGAAACUCUCCCAACUCUCAUAAAUAAAUUCUCUUUUUAACUGAGUAAAAGAAGUAAUGUCAUUUAUAAUCUU